CGCUGUGCGCGUGCGUCUAGUGCGAGCUGGCAGCGACCUCUGAUGACUCUUUUUUCGGCUCGUUCUUUCCAUGGCGCCUCCUUCAGAGCGGCACGUUAUGAGCUCUCUGUGCACAGACACGUGUUUCUUCGUGGGCUUCUUCCGCUUGACACACCCAGUCCUUUCAGAGGCGUGUGAAUUCGUUAGAAGGUGGAGUGCCCCUGCCGCCACACACUCAUGGCAGCAUCUCCCACCUGUCGAGGCACAUGCGGGCAAGUCAUCCAGGCACGCUCCCCCCGGCGACAGGGACGGGAGUGGAAGAUGGAAGAUGAAGACGGCGAGCCCAUUCCCUCAGACAACAGCGCCGUCUCGACGCAGGCCCCAGGGCCCGAAAAUGCGAGCACUGUGCGCACGCGCUGCGAAGCACAGCUGGUAUGGUGCAUCACACGCAAACAAGGCAUGCAGAGGUGGGGGGGAGGGAAGAGCGAGAAGCGUAAAGGUCGCGAAGGGAUGCAUACGAAUCAAUCCCGCACAGCGCGUGCGUGCGAAGUAUGCGGCGUCGCUUACAUCCCGACCGGAUGUGCUGAUGAGGCACAGAUGCCGGAAGCAUGACGAGAGCAUCCCGAAUCUAAUUAUCGAGUCCUCCAGACCUCAGUGUGGGGAGUCACCACACCGUGGUAUGGGAUGCCGCGGCUUGGGGCGACUGAGGGUGGAACAUGGCACGCAGGCAGCGGGGGAGGGUGCAGGGUCUCGGAGGGCCCUGACCUGAGAGGCUGGCCGACCUCCUCCUUGAUCUCAUCCGGCAUGCGCCUAGGCCACACCCCCUGCUGUCCCGCACGACUGACGCCGCUGUGUCCGCCCUCGAGCAGGGCCCUGGGCCGCGGCGUGCUUUGGGUCGAGGCGUGCAGUGCAGCCGGGCCCGCGUGGCGCUGGUCUCUCAGCACGCACCCGAAGGAGGGGCAAGGGCGGACAAGGAGAGCCGGUUGGUCGCAUGGCCCGAUUCGACGGCAGGUGGCUUGUGCCAGACACCCAGGAUUGAGCCGCAGUGCAAGAGCGGUAGGAGCAGUGUGGGUGUGCAUGCGCCUGAGUGUGGAGUUGCUCACGGUGGAGGGACAUGUCGGAAAAAAUAGCUUCUCGCGGCGCUUAGUGGUUUCGUCGCUGUGUAGGUUUUUUUCGAUGGUUUUCCAUUUUCCUUUUUGCGGUGUCGCCUUUCUCUCUUCAGCUAGCCGCUUGCCUAGUUCUGCUUACACGUCUGUCUGCCUCUGUCUGUGUGUGUGUUUGAGAAGAUAUCUCUACGUCUUUCGAGUUUUUUCUUAUGUUUCGCGUUUGGACCCCCACCUCAUUUCCAGCUGCUCACCGCCUGCUGUACGAACUGUGCCGCUAUCCACGGCCUUCUCGUACACGUAGCCCACCCCGAUUCCGUUUCCCGUAUCAUCCCCCCACAUAGCAGUCAAUCCACUCUACCCCUACCGCUGUUGAGAGCUUCCAAG
rnacentral:misc_RNA from 1 species